rnacentral:rRNA from 1 species
AAGGGAGAGGAACACGUGGAUACCUACCCUCAGGUUCAGGAUAGCUAUGGGAAACUAUAGGUAAUACUGAAUAAUAUCUCCGGAUCAAGGGUGUGAUUCCGCCGGAGGAGGGGUCCGCGUCCUAUUAGCUAGUUGGUGAGGUAACGGCUCACCAAGGCGAAGAUGGGUACGAGAUGUGAGAGCAUAAUCUCGCUCAUUGGGACUGAGACACUGCCCAGACACCUACGGGUGGCUGCAGUCGAGAAUCUUCGGCAAUGGGGGAAACCCUGACCGAGCGACGCCGCGUGCGGGAUGAAGGCCUUCGGGUUGUAAACCGCUGUCGUAGAGGAGGAAAUGUUGGUGGGUUCUCCCAUCAGCUUGACCUAUUCUAGGAGGAAGGACGGGCUAAGUUCGUGCCAGCAGCCGCGGUAAGACGGACCGUCCAAACGUUAUUCGGAAUCACUGGGCUUAAAGGGUGCGUAGGCCGUUCGGAAAGUUGGAUGUGAAAUACCUCGGCUCAACCGAGGAACUGCGCCCAAAACUACCGGACUCGAGGGAGACAUAGGUGUGCGGAACUUAGGGU